ACUGCCUUUGUUUGGUCAGACUACGGCUCCCACACCGUCUGCUCGGGGCGCUCCGUCUCGGGGCGGACGGCGUGACUCGGCGCUGGCAGCAGGUGGCGGCAAUAAUCCGGGUCUCCAGGUGGCUUUUUGUCUAUUGGAGUUUUACCUGCUUUUCUGCUGUAGGAUUUUCCAAAAUAAAUGGACCACUUCCUGUUCGCUCACUGAGGUGAAUGACAAACCUGUGUGUAUGCAAGCAAGGACUUUAAUCUUCGGCGCCACUAUGAGACUCGGCAUGGCGAAAAAAUACAACAGCUUGCAAGGACAACUGAGAAGACAGAACAUAAAUGAACUGUUGGCGGGUUCGAGGAAACGGCAAUCUGUUUUCACCCGGAGCCGUGAGGUCAGCGAUGCUGCAGUGAAAGCCAGCUACCUAACUGCUAGCAAAACAGCAUUAGCAUCAAAGCCGUACUCUGAGGGGGAGUUUUUAAAACUUGCAGGCUGAAGGCUGCAGAAAUCGUAAGGCAAAGUGGAGUCAUUUCUGUCAUUUUCUGUUGCAACAGAUGAUAGCGCUGAUAUUACUGACGUCGCUCAGCUGGUCUUGCAUUCAUUCGUGGAGUUGACGAGACUUUGAAUGUCACAGAGGAGUUUCUUGAGUCGGUGCCCAUGUCAGACACUGUAACAGCCAGGACAUUUUCCGCGCUGUCGUUGGUGCUGGACAGGGUCAGAAUGGACUGGUCCCGCGCUGUCAGCCUGGCUACAGAUGGUGCACCAUCGUCGGGAAAAAGGCGGGUGUUGUGGCAAAGUUUAAAGACAAAGUCAAAGCCGCAAAUGGAGGGAGUUGUUUUUGGACAUUCCACUCUAUUUUGCAUCAGGAGGCGUUGUGCUGUAAGUCGUUAAAAAUGGAUCACGUCGUGGAGGUGGUUGUCUGAACUGUUAACUUCGUCUGUGCCAGAGGUCCGAACCGUCGUCAGUUUGACUGCCUUCUCAGUGACAGUAACAUCACCCAUGGCCUGCCGUACCACACUGAGGUAAGGUGGCUAAGCCGAGGUGCUGUGCUAAAGCGCUUCCUCAAACUUCGUGGGACAUCGGACAGAUCACGGAGGAAAAAAGAUGCCACAUGCAUGCGGUUGGUGAUGUUGAUGGCGGAGAGCGACCAGGUUUCAAAGACAUGGAGAUCAAAGGUCAAGACAACUGUGACAGAUUCCUGUCUCCAACUGUGUGUGGAUGCUGCUUCAACUGACUUUGUACCCGAGUAAAAAGGGACUUCUCAGAAAGCAGAACAAGAACAGCUGACCGGCAGUUUCCCAGCUGAGGCAUCAAAACAGAUAAAACAGUUCCUGCAGUGCAGCAGCUCAGCAGACAACCACCUGCAAGCCGACGUCUUCCUGCUUAGACAUUUAUGAGCCAGUGUGAUUGCAGGAUUAUAUUUGUGGCUGGCUCACGGUCUGACAGAGCCGACUGGACAGUGAACUGGAAGACGGCAGCUGGCAGCUACUUACAUCAACACUGAUCCUUAGAAACCCCAGACGUACAGACAGCCAGACAGCAGACAGUCAAAUCCUCCGAGCCGCUCAACAAAGGAACGUUUUUAAAACUUCAGAUGUUAAUACAUGCACAGUUGGAGACCAGAGAUUUAGUCACGGAGAUAGUUACAUAAUGUAUAAUAUACGGUAUUAUGCAGUCCUUGGAAGUCUCCACUGUGCAUGAUAUUGUUGCUACAGCCUGCAGGCAGACAGCACUGAUUAAGUUCUGAGAGAUUUGUGUGUCAUUGUUUCACUGCUGGUACUUUUUGAAACUGUUAUCAUUUUUAUUAUAAAUGUGUUAGCAACUUCCUAAA